rnacentral:tRNA from 1 species
AGGUCCUUAGCUCAGUUGGUAGAGCACCGGUCUCCAAAACCGGGGGUCGAAGGUUCGAGCCCUUCAGGGCCUGCCA